rnacentral:rRNA from 1 species
CGAACGCUGGCGGCGUGGAUUAGGCAUGCAAGUCGAACGAGAAAGCUCCCUUCGGGGGGUGAGUAAAGUGGCGAACGGGUGAGUAACGCGUGGGAAACCUGCCUUUAAGCGGGGGAUAACAGUUCUAACGAGCUGCUAAUACCGCAUGACGCUAUCGAUCUCAUGUUCGAUAGUUAAAGAUGGCCUCUACAUGUAAGCUGUCGCUUAGAGAUGGUCCCGCGUCCUAUUAGCUUGUUGGUGAGGUAACGGCUCACCAAGGCAACGAUGGGUAGCCGGCCUGAGAGGGUGGUCGGCCACACUGGGACUGAGAUACGGCCCAGACUCCUACGGGAGGCAGCAGUCGAGAAGCUUCGGCAAUGGGGGAAACCCUGACCGAGCGACGUCGCGUGGGUGAUGAAGGUCCUUGGACCGUAAAACCCUGUCAGUUGGGAUGAAAUGCCAUAUGGCCAAUACCCAUGUGGUUUGACAGUACCAUCAGAGGAAGCUCCGGCCAACUCC